rnacentral:rRNA from 1 species
GACAGAGGGUGCAAACGUUGCUCGGAAUCACUGGGCGUAAAGGGCGUGUAGGCGGGACAGUAAGUCGGGCGUGAAAUCCCUGGGCUCAACCCAGGAACUGCACUCGAAACUACUAUUCUUGAGUGUCGGAGAGGAAAGCGGAAUUCCUGGUGUAGAGGUGAAAUUCGUAGAUAUCAGGAGGAACACCAGUGGCGAAGGCGGCUUUCUGGAUGAUAACUGACGCUGAGACGCGAAAGCGUGGGGAGCAAACAGG